CCUGAUGGAGGGGGAUAACUACUGGAAACGGUAGCUAAUACCGCAUAAUGUCGCAAGACCAAAGUGGGGGACCUUCGGGCCUCAUGCCAUCAGAUGUGCCCAGAUGGGAUUAGCUAGUAGGUGGGGUAACGGCUCACCUAGGCGACGAUCCCUAGCUGGUCUGAGAGGAUGACCAGCCACACUGGAACUGAGACACGGUCCAGACUCCUACGGGAGGCAGCAGUGGGGAAUAUUGCACAAUGGGCGCAAGCCUGAUGCAGCCAUGCCGCGUGUGUGAAGAAGGCCUUCGGGUUGUAAAGCACUUUCAGCGGGGAGGAAGGCGGUGAGGUUAAUAACCUCAUCGAUUGACGUUACCCGCAGAAGAAGCACCGGCUAACUCCGUGCCAGCAGCCGCGGUAAUACGGAGGGUGCAAGCGUUAAUCGGAAUUACUGGGCGUAAAGCGCACGCAGGCGGUCUGUCAAGUCGGAUGUGAAAUCCCCGGGCUCAACCUGGGAACUGCAUUCGAAACUGGCAGGCUAGAGUCUUGUAGAGGGGGGUAGAAUUCCAGGUGUAGCGGUGAAAUGCGUAGAGAUCUGGAGGAAUACCGGUGGCGAAGGCGGCCCCCUGGACAAAGACUGACGCUCAGGUGCGAAAGCGUGGGGAGCAAACAGGAUUAGAUACCCUGGUAGUCCACGCCGUAAACGAUGUCGAUUUGGAGGUUGUGCCCUUGAGGCGUGGCUUCCGGAGCUAACGCGUUAAAUCGACCGCCUGGGGAGUACGGCCGCAAGGUUAAAACUCAAAUGAAUUGACGGGGGCCCGCACAAGCGGUGGAGCAUGUGGUUUAAUUCGAUGCAACGCGAAGAACCUUACCUGGUCUUGACAUCCACAGAACUUUCCAGAGAUGGAUUGGUGCCUUCGGGAACUGUGAGACAGGUGCUGCAUGGCUGUCGUCAGCUCGUGUUGUGAAAUGUUGGGUUAAGUCCCGCAACGAGCGCAACCCUUAUCCUUUGUUGCCAGCGGUUAGGCCGGGAACUCAAAGGAGACUGCCAGUGAUAAACUGGAGGAAGGUGGGGAUGACGUCAAGUCAUCAUGGCCCUUACGACCAGGGCUACACACGUGCUACAAUGGCAUAUACAAAGAGAAGCGACCUCGCGAGAGCAAGCGGACCUCAUAAAGUAUGUCGUAGUCCGGAUUGGAGUCUGCAACUCGACUCCAUGAAGUCGGAAUCGCUAGUAAUCGUAGAUCAGAAUGCUACGGUGAAUACGUUCCCGGGCCUUGUACACACCGCCCGUCACACCAUGGGAGUGGGUUGCAAAAGAAGUAGGUAGCUUAACCUUCGGGAGGGCGCUUACCACUUUGUGAUUCAUGACUGGGGUGAAGUCGUAACAAGGUAACCG
rnacentral:rRNA from 1 species